GUGAGGAACGGAGGACGCAGAGGGAUGGCUUUUUAAUUUACAUCUGAGGAUUUACUCUAGCAGCAGCAGAGGGCAACUUUAAAAUCCGGUGCAUAUUUCUGAAGUUUGAAUUUUAUUUUUCGCGCACGUGGAGCGGAUAUUUCUGUCUGUUCAAUCGUAGCAGAGGAAGAUAACUUUUUAGGAAAUGAACAUAAAGGAAUAUUAAAGAUUCACUGCACAUGGCCUGCUGCUGCAACAGUGUGUUUCAAACGGGCUACUUUCUCAAACUGGACUGUCAUGAUUUAGACUGAUCUGACCAGCUGGAUACUUUCUGAAGAAUUGUCCCCACUGAAGGAAAAAAAAACUGGUGUCCUGCCUAGGAUUUCAGCGUGCAACCUUUUGGAAUCUAUGUUCUUUUGACAAUAACAAUAAAUAUUCUGCAGAUAUCUAACUGUUGAAAACAUGG